UUUCUCUUUGAAUAUGGCAUGUGCGGCUAUGCUUCUAGUGUGUUGGGCGACCAGCGGUAGGGUCUACUCUAGUAGAUACAGCCCACAGACGUUUGUUUGCGACCUGCCAAGCGCCAAGUGUACGAGCAGCACGUGCUGCUUCUCACGGCCCCUGCCUCGUGCACGGCUGGACCCACCGACAGGUGGCGCGCUCAACACUUGAUGUAGGCAAUAACUGAUAUGUAUAUCUAGUGUGUGUGUGUUGCAUUAUUUUGGUGUACAGCGCAGCACUUGGCCGACUCUCUAGCUCCAGCUAUUACUGAGCCGCUGGUUCAUCAACAUGGUCUCAUCGUUUUCUGUCGUCUUCCUCCUCCUCUGCACAGUGCCUGUGUACUCCCAGCUGGUUACGCCAGAAAUGAUGUGCGAGAUGGAAUGUCUUAGAGAGAGUGGCAGUUUGUCAGCUGUCACCUAUGACAGCACUGUGGCUGCAAGAUGCCGUAACUACUGCAGGGAGCAUGCUUAUGACUUCCUCUUUAGCCUUAUGUCUUCGCUAACACCACCUGACAAAUAGCUCAUGGCUUCUUUGACCAUAGCACUUUGCUGCCAACACUGAUGACACCCGUCAAAUACACAGCCUUUCAACUUUCAUAUGCUAGUUUGGUGGCAAAAGCUAGUAGAUAAAUGGCUAGUUUUCAUGCUGGCAUUUAUGACACAUUCUGGUUUGAAACAUAAUAAUGAAUAAAGACAAUGUAUGUUUACACAUGA